UACGGAGGGUGCAAGCGUUAGUCGGAAUUACUGGGCGUAAAGGGUGCGUAGGCGGGGAUGUAAGUCAGAUGUGAAAAACCGAAGCUCAACUUCGGCAGUGCAUCUGAAACUGCGUUUCUAGAGGGAUAGCGGAGAAAACGGAAUUCCACGUGUAGCGGUGAAAUGCGUAGAUAUGUGGAAGAACACCUGUGGCGAAAGCGGUUUUCUAGCUUACCCCUGACGCUGAGGCACGAAAGCAAGGGGAGCAAACAGG
rnacentral:rRNA from 1 species